GACGAACGCUGGCGGCGUGCUUAACACGUGCAAGUCGAACGCUGAAGCUUGGUGCUUGCACUGGGUGGAUGAGUGGCGAACGGGUGAGUAAUACGUGAGUAACCUGCCCUUGACUCUGGGAUAAGCCUGGGAAACUGGGUCUAAUACUGGAUACGACAUGUCACCGCAUGGUGGUGUGUGGAAAGGGUUUUACUGGUUUUGGAUGGGCUCACGGCCUAUCAGCUUGUUGGUGGGGUAAUGGCUCACCAAGGCGACGACGGGUAGCCGGCCUGAGAGGGUGACCGGCCACACUGGGACUGAGACACGGCCCAGACUCCUACGGGAGGCAGCAGUGGGGAAUAUUGCACAAUGGGCGGAAGCCUGAUGCAGCGACGCCGCGUGAGGGAUGACGGCCUUCGGGUUGUAAACCUCUUUCAGCACGGAAGAAGCGAAAGUGACGGUACGUGCAGAAGAAGCGCCGGCUAACUACGUG
rnacentral:rRNA from 1 species